AGACGGAGGGCGCAAACGUUGUUCGGAAUCACUGGGCAUAAAGAGCACGUAGGCGGCCCGCUAAGUUGAAUGUGAAAGCCCCCGGCUCAACCGGGGAAUUGCAUCCGAUACUGGCGGGCUCGAGGACGGUAGGGGUAAGUGGAACUCCAGGUGGAACGGUGAAAUGUGUAGAUAUCUGGAGGAACACCGGUGGCGAAAGCGGCUUACUGGACCGUCUGACGCUGAGGUGCGAAAGCUAGGGUAGCGAACGGGAUUAGAAACCCCGGUAGUCC
rnacentral:rRNA from 1 species